GCCUUUGUGGUGUAGUGGUCAGCACGCUCGACGCGUAACCGAGAGGUCAGUGGUUCGAUUCCCGGCGAAGGCG
rnacentral:tRNA from 1 species